UGCAAUAUGCUGGUCAUAACAUCCAAGGCUGUAUUCCGGAUCAAGUGGGAAACCUCGAGUCCACGCGGCUCGGACAAGCUUAAGGUAACAAGCUUGUUCUCUCUCUUCAUCCAAUCGCACAUCUCUUCGGCCUCAUUUGCCAUACCCUUGAAUUGAAUACAUUCAUCAUUUUGCAACCAGUGCCAACGUGCGUAGGUAAUUUACAGAAAAGAAUGGAUCGAUACUUGUUAAAAUUCAGCACACACAGGUAGGCACUAACCAUCAUUGCAGCAGCAGAAGCAAAAGAUUGGUGUCCUUUGAGAAGGCCCAAGGCGCAUAUGCGGAUUACGCUGCUCAGCUGGAUGAAUUGAGAAGAAGGCUGAGCACCAUGCUUC
rnacentral:lncRNA from 1 species